AGUGAAUAGAUACCCGGGUAGUCCACGCCCUAAACGAUGAAUGCUAGUCGUCGGGGUACUCGUUACUUCGGUGAUGCACUUAAACAGAUUAAGCAUUCCGCCUGGGGAGUACGGUCGCAAGAUUAAAACUCAAAGGAAUAGACGGGGACCCGCACAAGUGGUGGAGCAUGUGGUUUAAAUUCGAAGAUACACGAAGAACCUUACCUGGCCUUGACAUGGUAGGAACCCUUAAGAGAUUAGGGGGUGCUAGCUUGCUAGAACCUACACACAGGUGCUGCACGGCUGUCGUCAGCUCGUGUCGUGAGAUGUUGGGUUAAGUCCCGCAACGAGCGCAACCCUCGUCGUUAGUUGCUAACAGUUCGGCUGAGCACUCUAACGAGACUGCCUUCGCAAGGAGGAGGAAGGUGAGGACGACGUCAAGUCAUCAUGGCCCUUACGGCCAGGGCUACACACGUGCUACAAUGGGGCGUACAAAGAGCUGCAAUACCGCGAGGUGGAGCCAAUCUCUUAAAGCGUCUCUCAGUUCGGAUUGUUCU
rnacentral:rRNA from 1 species